ACACGCAAAUUCGUGAAGCCUUCUGUCUUUU
rnacentral:snRNA from 1 species